rnacentral:rRNA from 1 species
UACGUAGGGUGCGAGCGUUAAUCGGAAUUACUGGGCGUAAAGCGUGCGCAGGCGGUUUUGUAAGUCUGACGUGAAAUCCCCGGGCUUAACCUGGGAAUUGCGAUGGAGACUGCAAGGCUAGAAUCUGGCAGAGGGGGGUAGAAUUCCACGUGUAGCAGUGAAAUGCGUAGAGAUGCGGAGGAACACCGAUGGCGAAGGCAGCCCCCUGGGUCAAGAUUGACGCUCAUGCACGAAAGCGUGGGGAGCAAACAGG